AUUCCUGUAGUCGAAACUACAACGAUGGUUUUUCAAGCCGUAGGUCCUGGUUAAAACCCUGGUAGGAAUA
rnacentral:tRNA from 1 species